rnacentral:rRNA from 1 species
CCUACGGGGAGCUGCAGUGAGGAAUAUUGGUCAAUGGGCGCGAGCCUGAACCAGCCAAGUAGCGUGAAGGAUGACUGCCCUACGGGUUGUAAACUUCUUUUAUAAAGGAAUAAAGUGAGGCACGUGUGCCUUUUUGUAUGUACUUUAUGAAUAAGGAUCGGCUAACUCCGUGCCAGCAGCCGCGGUAAUACGGAGGAUCCGAGCGUUAUCCGGAUUUAUUGGGUUUAAAGGGUGCGUAGGCGGCCUUUUAAGUCAGCGGUGAAAGUUUGCGGCUCAACCGUAAAAUUGCAAUUGAUACUGGCAGUCUUGAGUACAGUUGAGGUAGGCGGAAUUCGUGGUGUAGCGGUGAAAUGCUUAGAUAUCACGAAGAACCCCGAUUGCGAAGGCAGCUUACUAAACUGUGACUGACAUUGAUGCUCGAAAGUGUGGGUAUCAAACAGGAUUAGAUACCCCUGUAGUC